GAUGAACGCUAGCGGGAGGCUUAACACAUGCAAGUCGAGGGGCAGCAUAGGGUAGCAAUACUCUGAUGGCGACCGGCAAACGGGUGAGUAACGCGUAUGCAACCUACCCUGUACAGGGGGAUAACCCGGAGAAAUUCGGACUAAUAUCCCGUAAUAAUAUCCGGAGGCAUCUUUGGAUAUUUAAAGUUCCGACGGUACGGGAUGGGCAUGCGUAACAUUAACUGGUUGGUAAGGUAACGGCUUACCAAGGCUAUGAUGUUUAGGGGUCCUGAGAGGGUGGUCCCCCACACUGGUACUGAGACACGGACCAGACUCCUACGGGAGGCAGCAGUGAGGAAUAUUGGUCAAUGGGCGCAAGCCUGAACCAGCCAUCCCGCGUGCAGGAAGAAGGCGCUAAGCGUUGUAAACUGCUUUUGCAGGGGAAGAAACUUCCGGUUGCGACCGGGACUGGCGGUACCCUGUGAAUAAGCAUCGGCUAACUCCGUG
rnacentral:rRNA from 1 species